UUAUGUCCUUGCAACGUUAGUUGCGAACCUAGUCAGGCCGGAAACGGAGCAGCUAUAAGCUUAUGCUAACGUGUGUAAGGACACUAUUU
rnacentral:SRP_RNA from 1 species